GCAAACUUGGUCAUUUAGAGGAAGUAAAAGUCGUAACAAGGUUUCCGUAGGUGAACCUGCGGAAGGAUCAUUACCAAUGCAGCGAGAAAUCGCUACAAACCACCUGCUGGCGGCCCUCAUGGGCUGCCAACUGGUCAACCCUUUGUGAACCAAAAAACCUUUCGCUUCGGCAGCUGGGCUCCCUAACCGGGCCUGUCAGCCUGCCGCUAGCACCCAACCAAAAACCUGUUGUCAAACAUUGUCUGAUAACCAAAAUUUUCGAAUGAAAAUCAAAACUUUCAACAACGGAUCUCUUGGUUCCCGCAUCGAUGAAGAACGCAGC
rnacentral:misc_RNA from 1 species